rnacentral:rRNA from 1 species
AUGGGCGAAAGCCUGACGGAGCAAGACCGCGUGCGGGAGGAAGGUCUAUUGACUGUAAACCGCUUUUGAUAGGGAAGAAGAUCUGACGGUACCUAUCGAAUCAGCAUCGGCUAACUCCGUGCCAGCAGCCGCGGUAAUACGGGGGAUGCAAGCGUUAUCCGGAAUUAUUGGGCGUAAAGCGUCCGUAGGUGGUUUUAUAAGUCUGUUGUCAAAUCGCGAGGCUUAACCUCGUACAGGCAGUGGAAACUAUAAGACUAGAGUGCGGUAGGGGUAGAGGGAAUUUCCAGUGUAGCGGUGAAAUGCGUAGAUAUUGGAAAGAACACCGGUGGCGAAGGCGCUCUACUGGGCCUGCACUGACACUGAGGGACGAAAGCUAGGGGAGCGAAAGGGAUUA